UAUAAAUGAUGCUCCAAUAGAUCCUUCUGACCCUUCCAUCUCUUGUACUCAAGGAGAGGGAUAUGAGGACACAGAUUCACUGAUAUA